rnacentral:rRNA from 1 species
UAGGGAAUCUUCCGCAAUGGGCGAAAGCCUGACGGAGCAACGCCGCGUGAGUGAUGAAGGUCUUCGGAUCGUAAAACUCUGUUAUUAGGGAAGAACAAAUGUGUAAGUAACUAUGCACGUCUUGACGGUACCUAAUCAGAAAGCCACGGCUAACUACGUGCCAGCAGCCGCGGUAAUACGUAGGUGGCAAGCGUUAUCCGGAAUUAUUGGGCGUAAAGCGCGCGUAGGCGGUUUUUUAAGUCUGAUGUGAAAGACCACGGCUCAACCGUGGAAGGGAAUUGGAAACUGGGAAACUUGAGUACAGAAGAGGAAAGUGGAAUUCCAUGUGUAGCGGUGAAAUGCGCAGAGAUAUGGAGGAACACCAAUGGCGAAGGCGGCUUUCUGGUCUGUAACUGACGCUGAUGUGCGAAAGCGUGGGGAUCAAACAGG